ensembl:lncRNA
ACGUUUGCGAAAAGAUCACAACAGUAGCUGAAUAAAGCUACAUUGUGAACAUUCUCCAAAAGCCCUCAGCCAAGUCACUUCCAAGCGCACAGGCACUGUAAUGGUGGACAUUAGGAAAAUCUGUUGCUAGAGGGCUGUGCAAACUUCAGCAAAUAAACAGAGCGCAUUACAAACUGAACUACCGUUUUUCUAAAGCAACUCAAAAUGCAAACAAUUCAAAUUACUCUUUUGCAGUCUGCACCAAGCACCCAGUUUGUUGACUUCACAGGAAACAUGCAGCCAUCAUAUUCCCCCUCAAGGCUUCUUCUGGAUGCUUGAGCUGUCCAGGGACAGCUCCACCUUUGUAAAUAAUAAAUGAGACCUCACUCUUAAAAGGAUCGUACUUGCUUAAUUGCUUUACAGUACAAUGCACAUAUAGAUACAGAAGCUGAUGAGCUCCAAAGCAGCACUACACCAUACUGUCAAGUACCUGCUUGCGGGAGAGGACCUUCCUGGUUACUGCAGGAUGAGAAGAUGCAGCACAAAGCUGGAGCACGCUACAGGCAUUGCUGCCUACAGACUCACAACAGCAAAUGCAGUCUCCUAUUGAUUUCAGUUUCACUUCAUGAGGCCUAUUUUUGUUUAACUCCUGCUUCACCAAAUAAAGCCGUUUUCCAGUUGCCACUCUCCCAGUAAUGCAAGGUAAAAGAUUCAGAGUUUUGAGAGAACUUCCUGGAAAAACUGGGAACCUGCUGUUGCUUCAGAUUACUGCAGAAGCCUUGUUUCUCCUCAGUCAGCUUCUGAGGACUGAGACAGAAGAAAGGAGGCCCACAGUCUGCCUCACCGACCUGGUAUGGCUGAGCCAGGGCGACUCCAACCGCCUGCAAUCAGCACGGCUCCUCGGUUUGCCACCAUCUGUGCUGCGCACCCGCAGCUUCUCAAGAGAUGCUCUAAGAGGAAAACAUGAUGAUUAUACGAUGAGCUGUCACUCAGCUACAACCCACUCUGUUCUAUUACUGCUCACUACAGCUGCUUAAACAUUCAGUCAGCUCAGCUGCCUUUUAUAUUCAUUACAUGCAGAAAUUCUCUAAUGUCCCUUAUCACACAAGGCAAUCCCUGUCCUCACAGUCCAACCCGAUUUGAUCUCUUCUGGCUUUGUUAGCAUUCAGGAUUGAUUUGUGAAAUAGAAGAGGAAUCCUGCUUCGAUACCAUUUGAAUUCCUACACCACAUACAUUUUUCUCAGUCCUUCCUUUUGGUCUCUAGAAAACUGAGGUUACACGGUACAGUGCACCAUUUGCAUAUCAAAAGCAACAGCACUUCAUGCAAAAGUGAAAUGCAACCAGUUUUCUGCUUUCAGGAAGAGCUCAAGACUUGAAAAGCACUUCCUUCCUCUGAAUCUUUAACUCUAAAUUCAGAUGUAGCUUAGCCCAUCACCAGUGGCUCAGAUAAAUAGCUUAUAACUGAAGAAGCUCCUCCACUGCCACCCGAUACAUGUUUGCCAAAAACAGAGGUCAUUUUCCUUCCAGAUCCUUUUCCAACAGAACAGUUAAAAACUUUAUAGUCGUAAAUGAAUGAACAUAAUUAAGAAAACAGUUCAAGUGCUCAAAAAAAUCAUAAAGAAACAAUUCUAAUUUAUCUCAAGUUACCUACAACUUGUGUGAAUGACGCCAAUCCUCCUACAGAGAGCGUUUCAAUGUCUUUUUUUCAAGCUGGCCACCAUAGCCUCAGACAUAUCACAUUUUGUUAUUACAGUGAUCAAGAUGACUCUGUUCUCAUUUAUGACUGGUUUGUGGCAUCAAUGCCAACAACAUCCCCAUCUAGAAAUAUACCUGGCCAGCCUAGACAGAGCAACGCGGUGGGGACAGAGGAAUGACUGAUAGAGAAUGCCAGCUGCUCAGCACUGUGCCUGGCUGCUCUUGGUGCAGACAGUGGGUGGUCCUCGAGCUGCCCCUGGCCCUGCCAAAUCCCUCCUCUGUUACUUCUCACUGUUAGAAAUGGUGAUGUAUUUCCAAAUGCUACCACAAGAAUACACUGACCAAUUUGUGCAUCAUGUUUCACAAAACAGGUCUGUCUGCUUCAGUCGACUUAAAAGAAAAUCAGCUAGCAGACAGCUCUUAUGGUCCAAGAACCAUGCUACAAUAGAGUAUACUGGAUCAUACAUUCAUUUGAUUUGUACCAGCCAGUCAAGAUUGUUUCUCAUUCCUAAGUCACCUUAAACCCUUCUUAAACCCUCACAGAUAAUCUGAAAUUUAUCCCCAUACAUCUUCAGUUACAGUUAGAUCAUUUAAAUAAAUUACACUGGAUCACAAGCA